rnacentral:pre_miRNA from 1 species
CGGGGGAGGCCGGAUCCUGGGCUUUGUCCCGGCACCCUGUGCUCUCGGUCUGCGCUGUUGGAUUCGUGCUCCCGGGUGCAUAGCCCCCU